GCAGGAGUAGGCAGGGCUUGUAUAAAGCCAGGAAGGGAGAACAGAAGGGGGCUAUAGCAUAGAAGUUUGCAGUCACUUUCUGGGUGUAGGGAGGAGAGAAGAACAAAACCCAUUAGGGGAGCAGAAGUCCUGGGAUCCUGACCCCUGAGGGAGCUGGAAAAGAAAGCCGGUGGAGGGCAGAUUAGGAAGGAGAGUGGGAAGACUUGCCUGGAAUGGCACCUGGACAGCUACUCCAGUGAGACUUCCUUACCCUGGAAGGAGGAAAACUGUAUAGUGACGUGGUUGGUGGGCCAAUCCACAAAGACAAAGCAUUACAAUUCCUAGAGAGCAAGAGGAGCCAUGGCAUGAGCGAGCAAAGGAAGGGGAUAUCAGACUGGGCAGAACUAAUUCCCAGAUGCAGGCACAAGGGUGUCCCAACGAUAAAAAAAAGAAACUAGUAGUUGAUCUUAGCAGCUGGAAGCCAGAAGAAAUCCACUUUAGGGUUCUUGAAGAAACAGCAGGAGAAAUUGUGAAGCUGUUAUGAAUAGGUUGAGUGCCAGUAAGCUAUUUCCAUAUCAGAUGACUGUUUUUUUUGUUCAUUUCCAAUCUCCCAAAAGGGGAAGAAAAGAGACCCAUGACAUUGCUGACCACUUACUCAAACUCUUUACUUUACUAAAUCUUGGAAAAUAAAAUCACAAAAUCAAUAGGUAUGUAGAUUGAAAUAUCUAGAGCUGUUUAUUGUCAAAGAUUCUUGGGCUGUCUAUCGACCUGUAUAUUAAACUUUCUAUUCUCAAGUGUGA